rnacentral:rRNA from 1 species
GAUGAACGCUGGCGGCGUGCCUAAUACAUGCAAGUCGAGCGAACAGACGAGGAGCUUGCUCCUCUGACGUUAGCGGCGGACGGGUGAGUAACACGUGGAUAACCUACCUAUAAGACUGGGAUAACUUCGGGAAACCGGAGCUAAUACCGGAUAAUAUAUUGAACCGCAUGGUUCAAUAGUGAAAGACGGUUUUGCUGUCACUUAUAGAUGGAUCCGCGCCGCAUUAGCUAGUUGGUAAGGUAACGGCUUUCCAAGGCGACGAUGCGUAGCCGACCUGAGAGGGUGAUCGGCCACACUGGAACUGAGACACGGUCCAGACUCCUACGGGGGGCAGCAGUAGGGAAUCGUCCGCAAGGGGCGAAAGCUUGACGGAGCAACGCCGCGUGAGUGAUGAAGGUCUUCGGAUCGUAAAACUCUGUUAUUGGGGAAAAACAAAUGUGUAAGUAACUAUGCACGUCUUGACGGGACCUAAUAAGAGAGCCACGGCUAACUACG